rnacentral:rRNA from 1 species
AGUGAACGCUGGCGGUAGGCCUAACACAUGCAAGUCGAACGGCAGCACAGUAAGAGCUUGCUCCUACGGGUGGCGAGUGGCGGACGGGUGAGGAAUACAUCGGAAUCUACUUUUUCGUGGGGGAUAACGUAGGGAAACUUGCGCUAAUACCGCAUACGACCUACGGGUGAAAGCAGGGGAUCUUCGGACCUUGCGCGAUUGAAUGAGCCGAUGUCGGAUUAGCUAGUUGGCGGGGUAAAGGCCCACCAAGGCGACGAUCCGUAGCUGGUCUGAGAGGAUGAUCAGCCACACUGGAACUGAGACACGGUCCAGACUCCUACGGGAGGCAGCAGUGGGGAAUAUUGGACAAUGGGCGCAAGCCUGAUCCAGCCAUACCGCGUGGGUGAAGAAGGCCUUCGGGUUGUAAAGCCCUUUUGUUGGGAAAGAAAAGCAGCAGGUUAAUACCCCGCUGUUCUGACGGUACCCAAAGAAUAAGCACCGGCUAACUUCGUG